rnacentral:rRNA from 1 species
UGGGGAAUAUUGGACAAUGGGCGCAAGCCUGAUCCAGCCAUGCCGCGUGAGUGAUGAAGGCCUUAGGGUUGUAAAGCUCUUCACCGGUGAAGAUAAUGACGGUAACCGGAGAAGAAGCCCCGGCUAACUUCGUGCCAGCAGCCGCGGUAAUACGAAGGGGGCUAGCGUUGUUCGGAAUUACUGGGCGUAAAGCGCACGUAGGCGGAUAUUUAAGUCAGGGUGAAAUCCCAGAGCUCAACUCUGGAACUGCCUUUGAUACUGGGUAUCUUGAGUAUGGAAGAGGUAAGUGGAAUUGCGAGUGUAGAGGUGAAAUUCGUAGAUAUUCGCAGGAACACCAGUGGCGAAGGCGGCUUACUGGUCCAUUACUGACGCUGAGGUGCGAAAGCGUGGGGAGCAAACAGGAUUAGAUACCC